CCCUGAAUGAGCCUCAAGUAAUGUAGUGGUACACUUUCACACUAUCAGGGACAAAAUGGCGGUGCAGAGCGCACUGAAGGGGACUUCGCCAUAUACGUUCAAAAACAUGAGACUCAUUCUAUGCUUAUCUCACAGGAGAUACCAUGCAAUGGAGGAAAUUCCUGCAGCCCCUCACCACACUGCUCAGAGCCAACGACAUCAGCUAUCGAUGAC